rnacentral:rRNA from 1 species
CGUGAGGGAAAGUUGAAAAGAACUCUGAAUAGAGAGUUAAAUAGUACGUGAAACCGUAUAGAGGUUAAGCUCGUUGAAUCUAAAUAUCUGGCCGCUGGAAUUCAAUAUUGGAGC